rnacentral:lncRNA from 1 species
CUUCUUACUAGGCAUUUGUUAAAAAAUGGCCAUCUUGGACGCCCUAACCGUGGAAACCAUGGAACUUUAAAAAAAGGAGAAAGAAACAUCAUGUAACAUUACAACAAAAUAAAAAAAUGGAGAGGAUGAAAGGGCCCAAAUUUGUUUAUUCUUGCCCAUAUCUGAGAGGAUAAAGAGAAAUGACAGAUAUCAGCUGCACCUGGAAAUGACAAAUUACUGAAAAAGUAUAAGGUCACACAAACACACCUACGCUUACAAAUAAACACUUACACACAAAUAUAUAUAGAUUUGUUAAACAAAAUCAUAAGUGUGAGAGAGAAACAUCUAAAGAAAGAAAAUUGAGUACAUAAAAUACACCUACACUUAAAUAACUUAAAACUCAUAAUCAACAUAAAAAGAUUAAGAGAUCGUCACCUUCACAUAGACCUAUUUUCAAAAACUUAAGAACCAAAAGAAAAAUAAACCAAAAUGGGAUGGCGUUAAAAUCUCUUCCUUAUUUGUGGUUCCAUUUUGUAACAUCUGUAGUGUAGGAAAUCCCAAAUCAUACCUGCAAGUUCAGUUCAAACGAAAAUCAUAAAAAGAGAAAAUAAAAUAUAUGAAAAGAAAAACCUAAAUAAGAAAGAUAAUAUGGGGUGCUUACUUGGGUUUUAGUUCCAAAUAAUCCUCGAAUAUUGGUGACAGCAACGUGAGUGGUGGAGGCUGGCAGAUUUGUGAUAAAGAAGAUCACCGACGCCUAUGGUGGUGAAGGAACAACAUCAUAGGUUAGCUAGCCAUCGACGGAAGAAGGAGAGCUUGGAAACACAAGAGGAAGCAGUUGCUAAGGAAAAGAUGUCAAAUAGAAUUAUUUAAAGAGAGACAAAGCGAUAGGAAGGGUGAAGAAGAAGCGGCAAAUAUUAGGGUAUCUCCAUUUUGGUAAUUGCCGAUUUGAAUAAGCUAUUUUGAAAUUUUGAAUUACCCCCCUGAAGCUUUAUUUUUUGUUUUCUCCCCAAAUCUUCAUGAGUGGUAUAGAGCCUUUUGUCCAAUUUUU